rnacentral:rRNA from 1 species
AGAGUUUGAUCAUGGCUCAGAAUCAACGCUGGCGGCGUGCCUCAGACAUGCAAGUCGAACGCGAAAGUCCCCUUCGGGGGAUAAGUAGAGUGGCGCACGGGUGAGUAACACGUAGGUAAUCUACCUUCGGGUGGGGAAUAACCCAGGGAAACUUGGGCUAACACCGCAUAAUGCAGCGGCACCACAUGGUGACAGUUGUUAAAGCGGGGGAUCUUAGGACCUCGCGCCUGAAGAGGAGCCUGCGGCGGAUUAGCUAGUUGGUGAGGUAACGGCUCACCAAGGUGACGAUCCGUAGCCGGCCUGAGAGGGCGGUCGGCCACACUGACACUGACAUACGGGUCAGACUCCUACGGGAGGCAGCAGUCGGGAAUUUUGGGCAAUGGGCGAAAGCCUGACCCAGCAACGCCGCGUGAAGGAUGAAAUCCCUCGGGAUGUAAACUUCGCAAGAAUGGGAAGAAUUAGUAGGGGUUAAUACCCCCUAUGAUGACGGUACCAUUUGUAAGCUCCGGCUAACUCCGUGCCAGCAGCCGCGGUAAUACGGGGGGAGCAAGCGUUGUUCGGAUUUACUGGGCGUAAAGGGCGCGUAGGCGGUCAGCACAAGUCAGUUGUGAAAUCUCCGGGCUUAACCCGGAAAGGUCAACUGAUACUGUGCGACUAGAGUGCGGAAGGGGCAACUGGAAUUCUCGGUGUAGCGGUGAAAUGCGUAGAUAUCGAGAGGAACACCUGCGGCGAAGGCGGGUUGCUGGGCCGACACUGACGCUGAUGCGCGAAAGCCAGGGGAGCGAACGGGAUUAGAUACCCCCGUAGUCC